UCUUUGAUGGUCUAACGGUCAUGAUUUCCGCUUGUCAUGUGAUGAUAGAACGUUUAUCAGACAAAGCGCGGGAGAUCGGGGUUCGACUCCCCGUCAGAGAG